rnacentral:rRNA from 1 species
AACGAACGCUGGCGGCAGGCUUAACACAUGCAAGUCGAGCGAGGGGUUUCGGCCCCUAGCGGCGGACGGGUGAGUAACGCGUGGGAACGUGUCCUUUGGUUCGGAAUAGCCCUGGGAAACUGGGAGUAAUACCGGAUACGGUCGAGAGACGAAAGAUUUAUCGCCGAAGGAUCGGCCCGCGUUGGAUUAGGUAGUUGGUGGGGUAAUGGCCUACCAAGCCGACGAUCCAUAGCUGGUUUGAGAGGAUGAUCAGCCACACUGGGACUGAGACACGGCCCAGACUCCUACGGGAGGCAGCAGUGGGGAAUCUUGGACAAUGGGGGCAACCCUGAUCCAGCCAUGCCGCGUGAACGAUGAAGGCCUUAGGGUUGUAAAGUUCUUUCAGCUGGGAAGAUAAUGACGGUACCAGCAGAAGAAGCCCUGGCUAACUCCGUGCCAGCCGCCGCCGUAAAAC